rnacentral:rRNA from 1 species
AUUUAACGCUGGCGGCAUGCCUUACACAUGCAAGUCGAACGGCAGCACGGGUGCUUGCACCUGGUGGCGAGUGGCGAACGGGUGAGUAAUACAUCGGAACAUGUCCUGUAGUGGGGGAUAGCCCGGCGAAAGCCGGAUUAAUACCGCAUACGAUCUACGGAUGAAAGCGGGGGACCUGCGGGCCUCGCGCUAUAGGGUUGGCCGAUGGCUGAUUAGCUAGUUGGUGGGGUAAAGGCCUACCAAGGCGACGAUCAGUAGCUGGUCUGAGAGGACGACCAGCCACACUGGGACUGAGACACGGCCCAGACUCCUACGGGAGGCAGCAGUGGGGAAUUUUGGACAAUGGGCGAAAGCCUGAUCCAGCAAUGCCGCGUGUGUGAAGAAGGCCUUCGGGUUGUAAAGCACUUUUGUCCGGAAAGAAAUCCUUGGCCCUAAUACGGUCGGGGGAUGACGGUACCGGAAGAAUAAGCACCGGCUAACUACGUG